rnacentral:rRNA from 1 species
UUAAGCGACUAAGCGUACACGGUGGAUGCCCUGGCAGUCAGAGGCGAUGAAGGACGUGCUAAUCUGCGAAAAGCGUCGGUAAGGUGAUAUGAACCGUUAUAGCCGGCGAUGUCCGAAUGGGGAAACCCAGUGCAAUUCGUUGCACUAUCGUUUGAUGAAUACAUAGUCAAACGAGGCGAACCGGGGGAACUGAAACAUCUAAGUACCCCGAGGAAAAGAAAUCAACCGAGAUUCCCCCAGUAGCGGCGAGCGAACGGGGAGCAGCCCGGAGUCUGAAUCAGCUUGUGUGUUAGUGGAAGCGUCUGGAAAGUCGCAGGGUACAGGGUGAUACUCCCGUACACUAAAGCACACAGGUUGUGAACUCGAAGAGUAGGGCGGGACACGUGGUAUCCUGUCUGAAUAUGGGGGGACCAUCCUCCAAGGCUAAAUACUCCUGACUGACCGAUAGUGAACCAGUACCGUGAGGGAAAGGCGAAAAGAACCCCGGCGAGGGGAGUGAAAAAGAACCUGAAACCGUGUACGUACAAGCAGUAGGAGCCUCUUUAUGGGGUGACUGCGUACCUUUUGUAUAAUGGGUCAGCGACUUAUAUUCUGUAGCAAGGUUAACCGUAUAGGGGAGCCGCAGGGAAACCGAGUCUUAACUGGGCGUUAAGUUGCAGGGUAUAGACCCGAAACCCGGUGAUCUAGCCAUGGGCAGGUUGAAGGUUGGGUAACACUAACUGGAGGACCGAACCGACUAAUGUUGAAAAAUUAGCGGAUGACUUGUGGCUGGGGGUGAAAGGCCAAUCAAACCGGGAGAUAGCUGGUUCUCCCCGAAAGCUAUUUAGGUAGCGCCUCGUGAACUCAUCUUCGGGGGUAGAGCACUGUUUCGGCUAGGGGGUCAUCCCGACUUACCAACCCGAUGCAAACUACGAAUACCGAAGAAUGUUAUCACGGGAGACACACGGCGGGUGCUAACGUCCGUCGUGAAGAGGGAAACAACCCAGACCGCCAGCUAAGGUCCCAAAGUCAUGGUUAAGUGGGAAACGAUGUGGGAAGGCCCAGACAGCCAGGAUGUUGGCUUAGAAGCAGCCAUCAUUUAAAGAAAGCGUAAUAGCUCACUGGUCGAGUCGGCCUGCGCGGAAGAUGUAACGGGGCUAAACCAUGCACCGAAGCUGCGGCAGCGACACUAUGUGUUGUUGGGUAGGGGAGCGUUCUGUAAGCCGUUGAAGGUGGCCUGUGAGGGUUGCUGGAGGUAUCAGAAGUGCGAAUGCUGACAUAAGUAACGAUAAUGCGGGUGAAAAACCCGCACGCCGGAAGACCAAGGGUUCCUGUCCAACGUUAAUCGGGGCAGGGUGAGUCGACCCCUAAGGCGAGGCCGAAAGGCGUAGUCGAUGGGAAACAGGUUAAUAUUCCUGUACUCGGUGUUACUGCGAAGGGGGGACGGAGAAGGCUAUGUUGGCCGGGCGACGGUUGUCCCGGUUUAAGCAUGUAGGCGGAUGUUCCAGGUAAAUCCGGAACGUUAUCAACGCUGAGGUGUGAUGACGAGGCACUACGGUGCUGAAGUGACAAAUGCCCUGCUUCCAGGAAAAGCCUCUAAGCAUCAGGUAACAUCAAAUCGUACCCCAAACCGACACAGGUGGUCAGGUAGAGAAUACCAAGGCGCUUGAGAGAACUCGGGUGAAGGAACUAGGCAAAAUGGUGCCGUAACUUCGGGAGAAGGCACGCUGAUAUGUAGGUGAAGUGGUUUACCCAUGGAGCUGAAAUCAGUCGAAGAUACCAGCUGGCUGCAACUGUUUAUUAAAAACACAGCACUGUGCAAACACGAAAGUGGACGUAUACGGUGUGACGCCUGCCCGGUGCCGGAAGGUUAAUUGAUGGGGUUAUCCGUAAGGAGAAGCUCUUGAUCGAAGCCCCGGUAAACGGCGGCCGUAACUAUAACGGUCCUAAGGUAGCGAAAUUCCUUGUCGGGUAAGUUCCGACCUGCACGAAUGGCGUAAUGAUGGCCAGGCUGUCUCCACCCGAGACUCAGUGAAAUUGAACUCGCUGUGAAGAUGCAGUGUACCCGCGGCAAGACGGAAAGACCCCGUGAACCUUUACUAUAGCUUGACACUGAACACUGGUCCUUGAUGUGUAGGAUAGGUGGGAGGCUUUGAAGUGUGGACGCCAGUCUGCAUGGAGCCAUCCUUGAAAUACCACCCUUUAAUGGCUGGUGUUCUAACGUGGGCCCCUAAUCGGGGUUGCGGACAGUGUCUGGUGGGUAGUUUGACUGGGGCGGUCUCCUCCUAAAGAGUAACGGAGGAGCACGAAGGUCAGCUAAUCCUGGUCGGACAUCAGGAGGUUAGUGCAAUGGCAUAAGCUGGCUUGACUGCGAGCGUGACGGCGCGAGCAGGUGCGAAAGCAGGUCAUAGUGAUCCGGUGGUUCUGAAUGGAAGGGCCAUCGCUCAACGGAUAAAAGGUACUCCGGGGAUAACAGGCUGAUACCGCCCAAGAGUUCAUAUCGACGGCGGUGUUUGGCACCUCGAUGUCGGCUCAUCACAUCCUGGGGCUGAAGUAGGUCCCAAGGGUAUGGCUGUUCGCCAUUUAAAGUGGUACGCGAGCUGGGUUUAGAACGUCGUGAGACAGUUCGGUCCCUAUCUGCCGUGGGCGCUGGAGAAUUGAGGGGGGCUGCUCCUAGUACGAGAGGACCGGAGUGGACGCAUCACUGGUGUUCGGGUUGUCAUGCCAAUGGCAUUGCCCGGUAGCUAAAUGCGGAAGAGAUAAGUGCUGAAAGCAUCUAAGCACGAAACUUGCCCCGAGAUGAGUUCUCCCUGACCCUUUAAGGGUCCUGAAGGAACGUUGAAGACGACGACGUUGAUAGGCCGGGUGUGUAAGCGCAGCGAUGCGUUGAGCUAACCGGUACUAAUGAACCGUGAGGCUUAACCUU